GAAAUAAAGUAAGUGUCAUUAGGAGAUAUUUUUCCAUUUGACAAGAACAUAGUGUAAUUUUUACUAGUGGAAUUAAGAUGGCUUAAUGAAAAACCUUACACUUGGAAUAAUAUGAAAAAAAUUCCUCUCCCUUGACAUUAUCACUUAGAGACAGCAAAAGGGGGUCACGGUUUUCUGUCAAGUAUCAUCUCCAAAUCCCAUCACACUUUGGAGAAGUUUGGUUUGAUACAGAGCUGCUCAGCUCAGUACCCACUCAGUAAGACGAUUAACAAUUUUUUGAACUUUACAGCAGUCAGUUACAUUAUACCAGGAAGGAAUUUGGCUGGAGAUUUCCUUCUUGCAAAGAUACUGCGUUCUUCUCUCUAGUAAAACUGAUGGGCUGAUGCUGCCCCAGACAGCAAGCAGAGCCCAGGACUCCCACAGAGCAGUGAUUUAAUCUGUCUCCUGCUCCACACACACAUCCCUGCAUCAACCCCAACAGCUACUGAUCAAAACACAUGUACAAUAUUUUGGUUGGUUUGUUUCUUUUUCCUGCUGUGUUAAUUUUCACAUUGUUCUCAGUGGGGGGGGGGGUUUGUUCUUUUUUUUUUUUUUUUUUUUAACUUCUCAUUUUUAAACAGAAACAUUUUGAAAUGGUACAUGUUGGUUUGGGGCAGAAUGAAAUGGCAUUGAACUUAUCAUCUUUUUUCCCUCUUUUCCUCUGCAGCAUUGGUUUCCCACCCUGCAGCAGGGCAGAAUCCCUGACCAGGAGAACAGCUGUAGAUCAUUUAAUGAGAAAGCAGAAGCUUGGGAAGGGAAGGCAAAAUUUAAAAGCAUCUUUAGAAAUCCAUUGAUGAAACAGCUACAUACUUAUCCUGGCUCUUCUCCCCUGGACCUACACAGAAACAAACCCAUCCUUUUUUUCCCCAAAAAAAAACCCCACCUAGCUGGUGGCAGCUUUUUGUAGUAUUUGCCAGAAAGGGAGAGCUGCUUUGUUUGUGUGUCCAUCAAAUUGCUGCUGUGUAUAAAAGCAAUGGCCCUUGGCAACUACAAAACAUGAGCACAGGGUGCUCCAUGUGCAGCCAGCCAGCACCAGACAAAGGCCCGUGCCGACACGAAGAGCGCUGGGAGGAAGGCCCAGUUUGGUGGGUGCUCCAAGCAUCUUCAAAGGGAUGAACUUGGAUUCUGCACUGGAGGGAAUAAGGGCUGUGAAAGCCCAGGCAAGAGGCAAACCACAGAAAGGAGACAUAACAACGCACUCAAAAUACAUAAACAGACUGUUCUCUGUGUCCAGGAGAAACAGAAAGGAUGUUAUCAGCUUAAAGGGGAUCAAAGGAUAUUUAGGCUGGAUGUUAGAAAUAUCUCUUGUACCUCUGAAGACUGCCUGGAGAUGAUGUGCUGUAUCCCUCACUGGCACGGUUUAAGAAUAAUACAAAAAGAGGCCGAUGGUGAGCAGCACACAUAUAGACGUGCCAUCCAGGGGAUGCGCUCAGACUGCUUCAGGUCUCUUCUACAUGUGUUCUCUCCAAGAUUAAGCAGGAAGAAUGUGUAACAACAGUUUCACAAAUCUCAAUAGAGACUGUAAACCCUCCUCUGCCUUUCUUUGCAGCUGCACAGCUCCUCCACUCUGUGCAAAGCUAGCCCUGAUUUGUAUCCACCAAACCCAAAACUGCAGCAUGUAGUUGUCAAAACCAGCAUUCCAAUCCACACUUAGAAAAGACAAAAAGCACACAGACAUCCUACAGAAAUUCUGCCAGAAAAAGCUAUUUGCUUCGCUUCCUACACUAACAGAGAAAGGACAAGAAAUAAUACAAUUUAUCUUUUCUAUUUAGCAAGACAUUUUUAUAUUUGAAAAUCUCAUUUGGCCCAAACCUAGGAGAGUUGCAAUUCUGAAUAUCUAACAAGGAGGGAACAAAAUCAAAGUCUAAAGGGUUUGUCGGUACUGAACGGACACAGCGCAACAAAGCUUUUGUUCCAAACUCUUUCAGACAUUCCUCUGUCUUUUGGACUGGGAGUGUGAGCAGAAAUGAAGAAGACGAGAUGCUGCCAUAGGGUAGCAGCACAUCAUCUACAGGCACCCAUUUACAGCUGGAGACCUCCACGUUCACCUCCAUCUAUGUGAUGGUAAAAGUGGCACUUGGAAGAAAAGGGAACUUGUUCUCUACAGCUGUAGCACAAGGUGGUGUCAAUGCAGCCACCGCUGCAGCUACCCAUCAUUUUAGAGAUCUACUUGCUGUAUGAUCCUCCACCACGUACUACAUUCUCCAAUGAUUUUGCACUCCUACUGUCUCUCAGAGAUUUCACGGACCAUGACCUUUUGGAGAGUAAGCUGAACAGAAGCAGCUGAAGGUGCAAAUGCCACUUUGAAACCCUUCCUUGUGCUUGAAUGUUGCCUGGGAAUCUGACACAUUUAUAUCCUUGUUGGGCUUUUCUCUGGCAUUUCGUAAACUUCACCAGUUUGGCCAUAACAUUCGCACAGCCCUUUUUUCUAUGCUUAGUUAUUAGCACUUGACAACCCAUCUAGGACUGAGGUGUAGCACAUGAACAUAGUAAAAACAUAAUUUCAAUACUCCAAAUAUAUUAAGGACAUAGUUUGACCUGGGGAGUGGCUUUGGCUCAGGAAAAGUCUGAUGAGCUUUCACCGCCUUAUGGCCACAGAAGGAAGAGUUGUUAGACCACUCAAAAUACUCCACACUGAAGAGCUUUGGCUGGUGGAAG